AGUCGAGGGGUAUAGUUCUUCGGAGCUAGAGACCGGCGCACGGGUGCGUAACGCGUAUGCAAUCUGCCUUUCACAGAGGGAUAGCCCAGAGAAAUUUGGAUUAAUACCUCAUAGUAUUAUGGAAGGGCAUCCUUUUAUAAUUAAAGUCACAACGGUGAAAGAUGAGCAUGCGUCCCAUUAGCUAGUUGGUAAGGUAACGGCUUACCAAGGCAACGAUGGGUAGGGGUCCUGAGAGGGAGAUCCCCCACACUGGUACUGAGACACGGACCAGACUCCUACGGGAGGCAGCAGUGAGGAAUAUUGGUCAAUGGGCGCAAGCCUGAACCAGCCAUGCCGCGUGCAGGAUGACGGUCCUAUGGAUUGUAAACUGCUUUUGUACGAGAAGAAACACUGAUUCGUGAAUCAGCUUGACGGUAUCGUAAGAAUAAGGAUCGGCUAACUCCGUGCCAGCAGCCGCGGUAAUACGGAGGAUCCAAGCGUUAUCCGGAAUCAUUGGGUUUAAAGGGUCCGUAGGCGGUUUAGUAAGUCAGUGGUGAAAGCCCAUCGCUCAACGGUGGAACGGCCAUUGAUACUGCUGAGCUUGAAUUAUUAGGAAGUAACUAGAAUAUGUAGUGUAGCGGUGAAAUGCUUAGAUAUUACAUGGAAUACCAAUUGCGAAGGCAGGUUACUACUAAUGGAUAGACGCUGAUGGACGAAAGCGUGGGGAGCGAACAGGAUUAGAUACCCUGGUAGUCCACGCCGUANACGAUGGAUACUAGCUGUUNGAAGCAAUUUCA
rnacentral:rRNA from 1 species